rnacentral:rRNA from 1 species
GACGAACGCUGGCGGCGUGCUUAACACAUGCAAGUCGUACGGUAAGGCCCUUUCGGGGGUCCACGAGUGGCGAACGGGUGAGUAACACGUGAGUAACCUGCCCACAACUUUGGGAUAACGCUAGGAAACUGGUGCUAAUACUGGAUAUGUGCUCCUGCUGCAUGGUGGGGGUUGGAAAGCUCCGGCGGUUGUGGAUGGACUCGCGGCCUAUCAGCUUGUUGGUGGGGUAGUGGCCUACCAAGGCGGCGACGGGUAGCCGGCCUGGGAGGGUGACCGGCCACAUUGGGACUGGGAUACGGCCCAGACUCCUACGGGAGGCAGCAGGGGGGAAUAUUGCACAAUGGGCGCAAGCCUGAUGCAGCAACGCCGCGUGCGGGAUGACGGCCUUCGGGUUGUAAACCGCUUUCAGCAGGGACGAAGCUUUUUGUGACGGUACCUGCAGAAGAAGCACCGGCUAACUACGUG